rnacentral:rRNA from 1 species
GAGUGGCGGACGGGUGAGUAAUGUCUGGGAAACUGCCUGAUGGAGGGGGAUAACUACUGGAAACGGUAGCUAAUACCGCAUAACGUCGCAAGACCAAAGAGGGGGACCUUCGGGCCUCUUGCCAUCGGAUGUGCCCAGAUGGGAUUAGCUUGUUGGUGGGGUAACGGCUCACCAAGGCGACGAUCCCUAGCUGGUCUGAGAGGAUGACCAGCCACACUGGAACUGAGACACGGUCCAGACUCCUACGGGAGGCAGCAGUGGGGAAUAUUGCACAAUGGGCGCAAGCCUGAUGCAGCCAUGCCGCGUGUAUGAAGAAGGCCUUCGGGUUGUAAAGUACUUUCAGCGGGGAGGAAGGGAGUAAAGUUAAUACCUUUGCUCAUUGACGUUACCCGCAGAAGAAGCACCGGCUAACUCCGUGCCAGCAGCCACGGUAAUACGGAGGGUGCAAGCGUUAAUCGGAAUUACUGGGCGUAAAGCGCACGCAGGCGGUUUGUUAAGUCAGAUGUGAAAUCCCCGGGCUCAACCUGGGAACUGCAUCUGAUACUGGCAAGCUUGAGUCUCGUAGAGGGGGGUAGAAUUCCAGGUGUAGCGGUGAAAUGCGUAGAGAUCUGGAGGAAUACCGGUGGCGAAGGCGGCCCCCUGGACGAAGACUGACGCUCAGGUGCGAAAGCGUGGGGAGCAAACAGGAUUAGAUACCCUGGUAGUCCACGCCGUAAACGAUGUCGACUUGGAGGUUGUGCCCUUGAGGCGUGGCU